GCGAGCAGAAAUUACAAUCAUAAAUAAAGAAAAAACCAAACAUUAUUUCGAAAUCGAGUAGAAGCAGCAAUUUUGCAGUGUUACAAUUUGUUCGGCCUCAGGACGGUGUCAGCGAUUAGUAUAUUGAUACGAUGCUACGGCGAGUUUGUCAACAAUACAUUAAUGUUACCUAGCAAGGAACGUGAACGUCAUUUUAUUCCAUGUGUUAACGGCAGUGGUUGAAUCAGCGUUGUUAACAGCUAUGAUGGUUUGUGAAAACGUGUGGAUUUCGCGUGAUGUUAUUUUAGGUUAUGUUUAUCGUAACAAAAGAUUAGUGUUGCUGUCGACAGGCUUUUAAUUAUUCGAAUUGCGGAAGAGAGGUGCUUAGAACUGCAGUCACAUGGAGUGGAUCAAGAAACAAGAAAUGCUCGAGAUACCUGUUGUGCCAAGACUCCAUGAGGACCAGUACAUGAGCCAUGUCAAAAGAGAGGUGGUAUCAAGAUUGAGAGAAGCAUUAGAGAAGAAACCUGAAGGAUGAAAACCGUUUUGCAGAUCAGAUGGAGAGAUAAAGUAACCAAGGGUUUUCUGAAACUUGUAGCAAGGAAUUACUUCAUACCAGUUUAGGAAAUUUGUUAUAUGCGCACGUACUUCCAUUUCUGUAAGAAGACUGAAGAGGACCUGUCUGCAAGGACCCUUGUUGAUCACAAUUAUUCCAUCAAAUAAAACUUGUGCUCCUGCAAUAGGACCAAAAGAAACUGCCAUGUACAAGUAAUGAUGAAAUGUGUAAUGAUGAAAUGUGUCAGUCACUGAAGAUGGCCUCCAAACAUGUCAUGUUUUUCAUUUCUUGAAGUUCCAUUUGGAGUCUCAUGGACUACUGAUUGUAUCAAGGAGAAUCCUGAACAAAAUUUGAGAGUGGAUGAAACUGAGAAUACUGAGGUUAGAGUAUUCUCAGUUUCAUCCGCUUCCAGAUUCAGUUCACAUCGCUGGUAUAUUGCAUGCAAAGAGAGAAAACAUCAUUGGCGUAAAUUGUGAGUUUUCUGGAAAUUAUCAUAUAAGUAAUUUUCCAAUAUUCUUGUACUAUUCCACUUGACUUGGAUUACCACCUAUUAUUUGCUGACUUUUUUGAGUAGAAUAUGAACAGGCCUUGCAACCUACUUGCAGUGACCUCUCUUGAUAAACUAAAGGUAUCAACAUGAUACUUUACACAUUGUGAGGCCCCCACCCUGUAAUUGGAUUAAGACUGCUUCUUGAAUACUGGGUUGCUGUCAUAUUCACUUGGCAUUGGAUUCCCAAUUUUGACUGCACUGUUGGGUAGUUCCACUUCCUAGGUGUGCAUAUCAAAUGAAUGAGGUCUGUAACCAUCUGCCAAAAUAACAUAUGCCCUAUCAAACACCUACUCCCACUACUCCAUAUAAUUAAGUCAGAAAAAUGUCAAGUAAUGUCUCUCGAAAUUGGAAACAAUUUCUCGUUAGAAAUUAAAUUUAUUAUACUUUCUGUUCUAAGGAAAUGUCUCUGUGAUGGCUUAAGUUCAUCCACAACACAUUAACACUGACACAGUUUCAUAACAUUAUUCAAAUUGGCUAUUUCUUUUAGAUUUAGCCUCAUUGCCAUUAAAGUAUCAUACAGUUUCUCAUUUCAUGCAAACCGAACAAGAGUUGGUGAUUUUCAGUGUUGGCAGUUGCUUUCCACACUUACCUCAUCCCACUCUCCUGAGACCUUCGAGUUAACUACACCAGUUACCUGCUGCUGAAUGAGUGACUGCCACACACCAUAUUGGCAGGUGCCAAAACUGCUCCUAUACUCAGAUGAUGGAGUAUCACUGUGCAGCCUGUGGGCUCCAGUUGGACGAAGGUGAGUCAGGCCAAGAUCCGAUACUGUAUCAGUAUCUGUACAUCCUCCAACUAAACAUUUUCCAAAAUACUCAUUCCUUACAUUUUAUAAAAGAAAAAAUAAUCCCACAGGUAACCUUAAAAUUUUACCGAAAAGGACUCUAAAAGCCAAAUAUUCCAUUAGAACCCUGAAAAAUAUUUUGAUGAAGUACAUGAAUAGCAAUGGUGUUUUAAAUUUCACUAUACAAAUUUCUGGUUUAUG